AUGAGCAAUGUGCCUUUCACUAAGCGGGCUUUGAGGGGUUGGUCUGGUAAGGACAGCCGGGAUCCGGUGGAUAAUGAUGUCCGAAAUACGAUGGAGAUUUAUAUUGUGGUCAACUGGAGCAAGCAGGAUGCAAUACCAUUACUUCGGAGAAACAAAAGCACGACAUGUCCACGGAGGGCUGACCUCCCUCGAAGAAAAGGAAAGAAGCGAAAUGCUCAAUCUGUGGAGUGGGAAAGCAUUGGAAGAAUACCUAAAACAAUCCUAAGAUUAUGUUACAUCUUGCCGAGAAAGCUGCCCAUGAACGGGCUGUAG
rnacentral:rRNA from 1 species